rnacentral:misc_RNA from 1 species
GUGAAUCAUCAAAUCUUUGAACGCAAAUUGCACUCUCUGGUAUUCCGGAGAGUAUGCCUGUUUGAGGGUCAGUUUAAAUAAAAAUCGGUGUGGUUGCUGCCUUUCGUGGUGACGUACCGGAUUUGGGUCGUCUUGCCUUCGGUUAAGUGACCUAAAAUUUUGCAUGAUUUUUUCGAACGUAUUUAAAUUGAUUUAAGUAAGUUUGCGGUUUCGUAUUA